rnacentral:rRNA from 1 species
CUAGCCGUAAACGAUGGACACUAGGUGUUGGUGGUAUCAACCCCGCCAGUGCCGUAGCUAACGCAUUAAGUGUCCCGCCUGGGGAGUACGGCCGCAAGGCUAAAACUCAAAGGAAUUGACGGGGGCCCGCACAAGCAGCGGAGCGUGGGGUUUAAUUCGACGCAACGCGAAGAACCUUACCAGGGCUUGACAUGGUCAGGACACCGGCGGAAACGUCGGCUCCCCGCAAGGGGCCUGAUCACAGGUGU